UGCAAGUCGAGCGAUACAGAAGNCNUCUUGCAUCCCGAGUAAUGCUUACCGGCGGACGGGUGAGUAACACGUGGGUAACCUGCCUGUAAGAAUGGGAUAACUCCGGGAAACCGGAAUCUAAUACCGGAUAGUUCCUUGAACCGCAUGGUUCAAGGAUGAAAGACGGUUUCGGCUGUCGCUUACAGAUGGACCCGCGGCGCAUUAGCUGUUUGGUGGGGUAAUGGCUCAGCAAGGCGACGAAGCGUAGCCGACCUGAGAGGGUGAUCGGCCACACUGGGACUGAGACCCCGUCCAGACUCCUACGGGAGGCAGCAUUAGGGAAUCUUCCGCAAUGGACGAAAGUCUGACGGAGCAACGCCACGUGAGUGAUGAAGGUUUUCGGAUCGUAAAGCUCUGUUGUUAGGGAAGAACAAGUGCGAGAGUAACUGCUCGCACCUUGACGGUACCUAACCAGAAAGCCACGGCUAACUACGUGCCACCACCCGCGGUAAUACAUAGGUGGCAAGCGUUGUCCGGAAUUAUUGGUCGUAAAGGGCUCGCAGGCGCUUUCUUACGUCUGAUGUGAAAGCCCCCGGCUCAACCGGGGAGGGUCAUUG
rnacentral:rRNA from 1 species